UUCCUCUCAGGGUCGCACCUGGAGAGUGUCCAGUACUCAACCAGACUCGACUAUGGGAGGGAGAGUCAAGCAGAGGCAUACCCAUUUCAUUCCUAGCUUGGGCAGAGGCUAGCGCGUAGAAGGCAAUCUGCUACAAGU